rnacentral:rRNA from 1 species
AUUGAACACUGGCGGCAGGCCUAACACAUGCAAGUCGAGCGGAUGAAGGGAGCUUGCUCCUGGAUUCAGCGGCGGACGGGUGAGUAAUGCCUAGGAAUCUGCCUGGUAGUGGGGGAUAACGUCCGGAAACGGGCGCUAAUACCGCAUACGUCCUGAGGGAGAAAGUGGGGGAUCUUCGGACCUCACGCUAUCAGAUGAGCCUAGGUCGGAUUAGCUAGUUGGUGGGGUAAAGGCCUACCAAGGCGACGAUCCGUAACUGGUCUGAGAGGAUGAUCAGUCACACUGGAACUGAGACACGGUCCAGACUCCUACGGGAGGCAGCAGUGGGGAAUAUUGGACAAAGGGCGAAAGCCUGAUCCAGCCAUGCCGCGUGUGUGAAGAAGGUCUUCGGAUUGUAAAGCACUUUAAGUUGGGAGGAAGGGCAGUAAGUUAAUACCUUGCUGUUUUGACGUUACCAACAGAAUAAGCACCGGCUAACUUCGUG